UAGGAAAUCUGUUGUGGAUUACCAACAUCAUCAGUUAAACCUGUUUCAAAUUUAUUGCUUUCAUUCAGUUUAAAUAAUAAAAAGGUCCAUUUGUCCCACCACAUGUAUAUACAUGAAUUUAGCUUUCAUCAUUCUCUACAGAUUUAAUCCAGUGAUUUAUGUUUUUUAACGCAUAUUCAAAGAAUCUGUUGAAGAAGCUCACCCAGACAGACAGAAGAGUGAGGUGGGAUUAACCAAAUGCAUGCACGCUUUAAAGCCAGUGGAUUCCUUUUGAGGUUCUCCUUCAGGAAGACCGGUAUUUGGUUGGAACAGAGGGAAACUUUGUCCCAGGAGAACUACACCUGAAGUUUCCUUUUCUGUGGAGUUUUUGGAGCAAAUGGCCAGACCUGAUUUGUUGGAUCCCCAGAGUCAGGCCUCAGGCCUAGGGUUCUGG